rnacentral:misc_RNA from 1 species
AAGACUAUAGACCUGCGGAGUACCUGCGGAGGGAUCAUUACCGAGUUUUCAACUCCCUAACCCUUCUGUGAACCUACCUAUCGUUGCUUCGGCGGACUCGCCCCAGCCCGGAUGCGGACUGGACCAGCGGCCCGCCGGGGACCUCAAACUCUUGUAUUCCAGCAUCUUCUGAAUACGCCGCAAGGCAAAACAAAUGAAUCAAAACUUUUAGCAACGGAUCUCUAGAUCGGAAGAGCACAC